GGGGUUGAAAGGAUUUGACAGAUGUAUGUUUGAUAUUUAAGCAUGUAAACUUUUGUGGAUGUAGUUUUAAAUUAAGUCCUCAUUUUAAAUAUAAAAGGCGAAAAUAACGAUUACGCUCUUGCUGCUUAGUUAUAUUGCUAAUUAAGUAUUUUUCUCAUAGUGGGAAAAACAAGAUAUCUUUUAAAUCAUUUAUUGAUUGAUUUAUUCAUAAGAUACUUAUUUAUAUCAAUAUAUAAAUUGAAAAAUUCUAUAUUUUUUUUGAUUUAGAAAUAAAUAUAAUAUAGAUAUGCUAUAUACAUAUUUUUAUAUAUAUUAUAUAGUGAAUAAUGAUAUAUAAAUAAACAUGUAGAAAUUAUAUUAAUAAUUAUAUUUGGACGAGGGUUCGAAUCCCUCCAACUCCAUUU
rnacentral:tmRNA from 1 species